GUGGGGAAUAUUGGACAAUGGGCGCAAGCCUGAUCCAGCAACGCCGCGUGAGGGAUGACGGCCUUCGGGUUGUAAACCUCUUUCAGCAGGGACGAAGCGAAAGUGACGGUACCUGCAGAAGAAGGACCGGCCAACUACGUGCCAGCAGCCGCGGUAAUACGUAGGGUCCGAGCGUUGUCCGGAAUUAUUGGGCGUAAAGGGCUCGUAGGCGGUCUGUCGCGUCGGGAGUGAAAACUCAGGGCUCAACCCUGAGCGUGCUUCCGAUACGGGCAGACUAGAGGUAUGCAGGGGAGAACGGAAUUCCUGGUGUAGCGGUGGAAUGCGCAGAUAUCAGGAGGAACACCGGUGGCGAAGGCGGUUCUCUGGGCAUUACCUGACGCUGAGGAGCGAAAGCAUGGGGAGCGAACAGGAUUAGAUACCCUAGUAGUCC
rnacentral:rRNA from 1 species